UACAGAGGGGGCAAGCGUUGUUCGGAAUUACUGGGCGUAAAGGGCGCGUAGGCGGCCUGCUAAGUCGAACGUGAAAUCCCCGGGCUCAACCCGGGAACUGCGUCCGAUACUGGCAGGCUUGAAUCCGGGAGAGGGAUGUGGAAUUCCAGGUGUAGCGGUGAAAUGCGUAGAUAUCGGGAGGAACACCAGAGGCGAAGGCGGCGAUCUGGACUGAUACUGACGCUGAGGUGCGAAAGCGUGGGGAGCAAACAGG
rnacentral:rRNA from 1 species